rnacentral:lncRNA from 1 species
AUUCAACAUUUCUAAGCUGAUAAAGCUCCAAAUAGCAUCAGCUUCAUGGAAUGUUUUUGUUUCUCUUUUCUUCUUCCUUUUCUUCUUCCUUUUCUUCUUCUUGGAUUUAUCAUCUUCACUCACGUUUUUCCCCUAUCAUUUCUCUUCGAAUCCUCACUCCCUUUUCCUUUAAUUUUUGGCCAAAUUAAAAAACAGAUAGGGUUUUGUUUUUGUAAUUUAU